AGGCUUCUGGGAUAUGUUUAUAUGAGGUCAAGGUUAUUUUAAGAAGAGGACAGAAGAAAAUAAAUACGGAAAUAAUAAUAAUAGAGGGAAAUUUCAUAAUUUGUUGAAACAUAAGUCACUGAUACCAACAUCUCUACCCUUUAUCUACCGAGUGUAGUGGAAAAUCUUUCUAGAUUUACCGAUUGAGAUCAAUUAUAACUCUAUUUUCAUUGUUAUUUUCAUAUCAAUUUUCAGAUGAAAAUGUUUGAUUAUCAUUUUGUUGUUGAUAUGUGUGACAAUUUUGCUUAUUACAAUCAGACUGUAGAAACAACGAAAAGAAAAAACAGUAACAUUUCUCCUAGUAGUAAUCAACAAUCCUUAAAUUGUCCUUGUGGAUCGCUUAGUAUACAGAACUAAUUAUCUAAUUAAAGUUAAUUGCAUUAAGUGGACAGGUGACAUUUGUCAAUCAACAGUCACACUUAAUUAACCACAGUUCAUUUGAUUGAAACUUGAAAGAAGUGGUGAAUUGAUAUAUAUAAUUUAAAGGCUAUCACAUUAGCUAAGAAAGAAGUCCAUCAUGAAGCUGCUCGAAAAUUCACGAUUUGAACAAAUAAAUUCAGCUCUAUCACAAGAGCUUGGAAGCUAUAAAUUGGAGGGCAGAAUUGAGAGUUAUUCCUGUAAGAUGGCUGGAAAUGACAAGCGAUUGUAUAAAUUGAUCAGUGCAGAAGGUGGAGUAGGUCCAGAAGAUCUCCAGGCUUUAUCACCACCUCAAACUGUCCUCUCAGUAUCACCUUCAAAACAAUACAGUAAGAGUACUGGAAGUGACGGAGAGAGUUACUUAUGUGAUACGAUAUCAACAAAGACAUUAUUCUAUCUGAUCUCAACUCUGAAUGCUUCAUUUAACCCUGAUUACGACUUCAGUAACGCAAAGAGUGAAGAGUUCAGUAAAGAACCAAGUCUAGAGUGGGUAGCUCACAACAUUGACACACAGUUGUAUGCCACUCUUGGUGAAGCUUAUGGAGCCUUGAAACAAAAUCUGUGGACAGCAUUUGAUGAAGAAUGUUCUCUUCAGGACUGUGAAAUUUACAGUUACAAUCCAGAUUUAGCAUCAGAUCCCUAUGGAGAAGCGGGGUGUAUUUGGUCCUUCAAUUAUUUCUUCUAUAACAAGAAAUUAAAGCGUCUGGUGUUCUUUACCUGUCGUUCAUCAAGUUCCUCUUACACAGACUCUGGAAUAGUACAGGAUAGCAGUAUGUUUGAUAUGACAGAUGAUAUGGACUCUUUUCAGGAGUGAUUUGGGGGCACAUCUUCCCUAUAUACACAUGUAGAAUGGGGUGGUGUGGGACUAUACAUGAGUCUGAGUUGAAUAUGGACUAAGACUUAACAUACAGAAAAGACGCAUAAACCAAGCCACUGUAUCUAGUUGAUGCAUGAUCAGAGGAGGCAUACUACCUCUUAUAUCAUGAAUAUUCAUCGAUUGUUAAUUUACAUAGAUGUUUUAAUAUUUCUAUUUUUACAUCUAGUGCUUAUUAUUAAUAUUAUAGAAGUUUUGUUGUAUUUUAAUUAUUUUAUUCCUUUUUCCAGUUAUUUGUAUUUUGUUUUGUUUAAUGUCAGUAGUCUAAAGAAGACAGAUACACCAAGUAACAAAAGCAAUAAAAUGUAAAUUAUUGCGAAUUUGACAUAACUAACUGAAAUUAAUAACUGUAUACAGAUAUGUAUGCAACUGGUUCACUUUUCACAAAAAAGUUAUGACAAAAAAUGAUCGUAGAUUAAACUAAAAUUUUCAUGACUGAUAGGUAAUUUUUCACCUUAGAUUUUUUGUAAAAUAUGUUGCAGAUAUAAAAAAAAAUGUGAGUUCUUAAUACUGCAAUACUCACUAAGUAGCAUUAUUCUCAUUUAUAAAAACUCAUAAUAUUUCUGAAUUUAGUUUAUCUGAUUUUUUUCUAACUUUAUAAGAAUAAUUAAGUUUUGGGAAAUGAUAAAAUGUAUAAUUCAUGACAAUUAUCAAAUGAAUGAAAUACAAUUCAGUAUCAACACAACACUAAAUGCAUAAUGCAGAAAUGGACACAAAGGGAGUUAAUAGAUCUAAAUUAUCUCCCCUUUACUGGAUUAUUAAAAAAAGUAAGUUUUGUCUUAAAUAAGUGAGGGAAAUUAAAACCAAUGUUGACAUACAUAUACUAGCACACAUGUAAAUAGAUUUAUUAUAUCACAUUUAUAAUGUGACUCUAGAUACUGGUGUUAAUAUUUUUUCGAUAUAGAAUUGAUAGAUAUAGAGUACUUUAUUUUUCACAGUCGUACUUUAUCAACCCUAGUUGAAGUGUUACCUAUUCAGCAUUUCUCUUAAAAUCAGCAGUUAAUCAAUUUAACUGUGCAUACAUACUUUAAAAUCACAAUCAUUUACAAUAGUUUUAACAGGAAUGAUUUUAAAAUGUUAUGUAAAAAAAUGUACAUUGUAGAGAAUUUUAUGUUACAAUCUUUGAAAUAUAUUUCAUAAAUAUUUCAAAGAAAACAUUUUUUUUUGUGUAAAUCAGUUUUCUAAAUGAUAGAAAUGUUUUUUGUUUUAUAAGUAUUGAUGUACAUUACAUAUUGUUUUAAUGCUAUUGCAUCAAAAAUAUUUGUGAUAUAUAUUGUCAUACAAAUUACGUGAAAUAGUCAACACUGAGUUUGUGGGUUUUAACCCUGACUCAUGACAGAUGGUGAGAUGCAUUGACUCCUCAAUCUUUAUUGACUUGAAUUUGAAGUUUACAUUAGAAGACAUUGUUGCCCAUUGAGGUUUAACAUACUCUAUGUUUAGUACCUGAAGAUAAUUGCAGAUGUUUUAACUACAUAUGAGGAAUGGCCAGAACAUGUGUCUGGUCAGAUAUAAGAAGUGUGGAGGCUAUGGUUCUAUUUCUGUUUGAAGAAUGUGAAGGCCAUGUGCCUUUAAAGAUCCUAGCGUGCCAUUUUAGUUGUGAACUUAUUUUGAGCACGUGUUUUAGUAUCUGAAGAUGGAUGUAGAUUUUUUGAAAGAUUUUAACAAGAUAUAUUCAAUUUGUUUAUUCUUCUUGAAAAACUAUGUGAAGCAGUGUCAAGUUAGAAAACACACAACAUUGGGAUGUAUUGCACUUGUGCAUAAUUGAUGGCAAUUUGAAUUUCAUUCAUAAUAGUAAGAGUUUACAUUGAAUUGAAAGUUUAAUAGUUUACUAUACAGAGAGUAGUAAAACAAAACAAGGAUUCUGUUUUUGUAAAACUGUAGGUAAAUACAUCUAUUAUUAUUUGAUAUAUUUUUUUGUUUUUAAAUUACCUAUACUGUAUAUAUUGAGUUGCUUUGUUUAGCCUUAUACUAAGAUGGUAUGGCAUUUGAAGGAAAUAUGUUUAUAUCUUCUUCUUUUUUUUGCAAUCAUUCAUUUUAAACAGCCUUCAUGGAUAUCUACAUUAAUUCCAUCAUUAGAGGAGGUUCAAAAGGGAGGCUUUAUUGAGUUGCUUUGAUUAGCCUUAUACCCAGAUGGUAUGGCAUGUAAAAGAUACAUUUUGACAAGACUGCCUUUUGAACCCCUUCAUUGAAUUUUAUGCUUAUUCCAUCAACAGAUGGGGUUCAAAAAGAAGACUUUUAUAAUCUUACUAUUUUAAUUGUUUGUAUUAUCUUGCAUUAUUCUUUUUUAAUAUUUUUUUUGUCUAUUGUCUUGCAUUGAAUUUUAUCUACUUAUGGUCAUGAAUUUUAGGUUUUUAGACUUUCUGCACAAUUUGUUCGAAGCAUCUUGUAAAAUGAAUCUUUUUUUUUUAAUAUUAGAAGUAAUUUAUCAUAAGAAUGAAAAUCUGGCGGAGUUGACAGCAUAUUCCUAUGUUCUGAAACUAUGAUGUCUAAUGGAGCAUUAUUUUUCUGGUCUGUACACUCUUGCAGCAAAGUUUAACAACUUAAAUUAAAAAUUUCAAGCAAGGUCAGUUGUUCUUAAGAAAUAACCAACAAGAUAAAGUUUACAUUUUCAUCUUUACAUAAAACCUUUACAACUUUACAUUUGAACUGUGUUUUAAAAACUUUGAAAUUUUGUCUAUUCAUUAUCAUUGGAAAAAAUAAGUCCUAAGUUCUCAGUACUGAUGCUACUUAAGUUUCCUAUUCAUUUGUAAGAUAUGAUAAUCACAUUCUAAUGCAACAUUGUUUAUCAGUUUCAUUUUGAUUUGAUUUGAUAACUUCACCAAUUUUCAUAGCUUCAAUUCACAAUUGAUACUUUGAUAAACUUACAUGUAAGUGCAGACGACUUAUGACAGAUUUCAAAUGUAUGAUUUAACAUUGUUUUCUGUUAGUUUCAUUAGAAUGGAGAGGACAACAAAGUAUUUUAAGUGCAGACUGCAUCAAUUGGUUAUUUGACAGUCGCAAAUACCUGUUUAAUGGCUCUGUUAACUUGUCACCAGUAAACUUAAUUUGUGACCAUCAUUAUUGGAAAUUUUGUCUGUUCAUUAUUAUUGGAAAAUCACCAAUUGAUGCCUUUUGGUUCUUAAAAUACAAAAUCGUUAUCUCCUAAUUUUCAGGACAUUUAUAACGAUUUUUUUAAACUUCUGUAUACUGGAAUGUUACUAUUGUAUUGGGAAAGGCUUGUAAAGACCAUAUUGAUUCUUCAUGAGGACAGCUUCAUUCUGUAAUGCCAGGCAGAUAACUAUGUUCACAAACAUUCUCUAACCUGCUCAGAUCAUCAUAAGUUAAAGAAGACUGUUCAUGGCCUUAAAAGAAUUUUCCAUUGCUGCAUUGUAAAUAAUUGUAUUUGUUUUAUAUUGUACAUAAUUUUAGAUGUUAUAACAGUAUGUUAAGUCCUGUAUAUGAGAUUUUUAGUUUAGUAAUAUGUAAUUUUACUUAUCUUCACAAAAAAAAAUCCAUUCAUGUUGUUGAUUUUACAGUUUUCUAGAUACACUGUUUUAUGUAUAAUAAAUUGUUUUAUUUUGACUUACAAA